GACGAACGCUGGCGGCGUGCUUAACACAUGCAAGUCGAACGGAAAGGCCCCUUUGGGGGUACUCGAGUGGUGAACGGGUGAGUAACACGUGAGUAACCUGCCCUUGACUUCGGGAUAACUUCAGGAAACUGGGGCUAAUACCGGAUAGGAAUCCUUGCUGCAUGGUGGGGGUUGGAAAGCUUCGGCGGUUUUGGAUGGACUCGCGGCUUAUCAGCUUGUUGGUGGGGUAGUGGCUUACCAAGGCUUUGACGGGUAGCCGGCCUGAGAGGGCGACCGGCCACAUUGGGACUGAGAUACGGCCCAGACUCCUACGGGAGGCAGCGGUGGGGAAUAUUGCACAAUGGGCGGAAGCCUGAUGCAGCAACGCCGCGUGCGGGAUGACGGCCUUCGGGUUGUAAACCGCUUUCAGCAGGGGCGAAGCUUGUGGUGACGGUACCUGCAGAAGAAGCACCGGCUAACUACGUG
rnacentral:rRNA from 1 species